rnacentral:lncRNA from 1 species
UGCAUACCCUUGAUUCCAGCCUUCUAUAUUCUCCAAAAAUGAUAUUGAAGCAGAAUAUGUUUUGGCAAAGAGAAGCCAAAAAGUAACCUUGAGACCUACGGAUGUACAAUUGCACUUGCUAUUAUGAAAUAUUACCACCUAUAUUUCAACAGCUUCCACCAUGAGAAUUAAAUCAAAUAAACACAACAAAAACAUACUUAGGAGAAAUAAACAAAUGAAUUUACUAAAACUAAUAAGAUUUUUGUGGUCAACAUAUUAUCUUUCCUAGCAUCUUGUUGAUCAGAUAUUGACAUUAGAUGAUAGACAAUCUUUUUGUAAUUAGCACUCAAAGGAACCUCAAAGUACUUAAAUGACAUUUCUCCUUUAGCAAAAUCUAGAAUGGUUAGAAUAAUCGCUUGAGUAACUUCAUUCACCCCACCAAAAUAUACAAAGUUUUGUCCAAAUUUGGUAUGUGUUCUGAAGCUAGUGAGAAUUCUACAAAGCAAUUUUAUAGUAGUUGAACGAAAAUUGAAAUCAGGUUGUUUCAUUAAUUG